rnacentral:lncRNA from 1 species
AAAGAUGAAUCUACGAUAGAGCUUUCCUAUCCUUCUGUUGUCCAAUCAGCUGUCAUCUUAUCAAAAUCCAGCAACGCAUCGUCUAAAUCCAUCUACGGCAAAAUAGCCAUCAUCUUUACUUGUCACAACGAAAAUCUUGUAUUAUGAUCCAAUAGCGGAAUAUUAUAUUUCAAAGUAGCCAUCUCUGAAAAAGUCUCAAUCAAAUCAUGAAAAGCCUGCAACUUAAUGGUAUAAUAUGAAAUAUGUAAGAUCACAACCAAUAGCAAUGUUAUAUUAAUUGACAAUAUGGAGAGAAUACAACUACAACAAUAAAGCUUCACAAAUCUAGAGAAAGAGUCUAGUAUUUAUAGGAAAAAAUCCAUCCUUAGAAGUAGAUUUGUAGAUGAAAUAAAAUGCCAAAAGUUUCCUUAUUUGAUCUCAGCAAGUCCAACACAAAUUUCAACUCCUAAUAGGCUUCCAAAUAGAACUUUAACUAGAAUUUCUCAAUUAAACUUGAAUAUUAUUUCUCAAUGGCAUUCCAAUUAAAAUUUCUCUUGAUGUACACUUCAAUUAGAACUCUACAAUUUAUUUCAACAAGGAAUUCAGUCACACCAAAUUCCAACAAGGAAGCAAUGACAACAAAUCAUGUUUAGGUUGCUCAAAAAGCUGAAGCUGUAGUUGAUGAGGAAGAUUUGAUAAUUGCAGAGUUUAUGGCCCUUAUUGGUGGUAAAAAGUUAGUCAAGCAUCACUUAUCCUUUAUAUGGGCAUAUGCUAAUUUCCAACUCCGAUCGGAAGUGACCAAUCUCUUUCAAAAUCACAAUCAUUUGCAAUUUUAUGGUAAGGAGCAUGAAAAUCCACACGAGCAUGUAUCAUGUUUUCUGGAAUUAUUUGAGAUAUUUGUUUAUGAGGAGGUCAGGGAAGAAACCAUUCGAAUGUAUUUAUUCCCACAUAAACUUAAGGAUAAUGAACGGAAAUGGCAAUAUUCAUUAUCUGCUGGUAGCAUUACUUCAUA